UAACUCAGCUGGUAGAGUGUCUGGCUGUUAACCAGAUCGUCACAGGUUCGAGCCCUG
rnacentral:tRNA from 1 species